CCUACGGGUGGCAGCAGUAGGGAAUAUUGCUCAAUGGGGGAAACCCUGAAGCAGCAACGCCGCGUGGAGGAUGAAGGUUUUCGGAUUGUAAACUCCUUUUGUUAGAGAAGAUAAUGACGGUAUCUAACGAAUAAGCACCGUCUAACUCCGUGCCAGCAGCCGCGGUAAUACGGAGGGUGCAAGCGUUACUCGGAAUCACUGGGCGUAAAGAGCGGGUAGGCGGGAUAGCAAGUCAGAAGUGAAAUCCUAGGGCUUAACCAUAGAACUGCAUUUGAAACUGUUGUUCUAGAGUAUGGGAGAGGUAGGUGGAAUUCGUGGUGUAGGGGUAAAAUCCGUAGAGAUCAAGAGGAAUACUCAUUGCGAAGGCGACCUGCUAGAACAUAACUGACGCUGAUGCGCGAAAGCGUGGGGAGCAAACAGGAUUAGAUACCCCAGUAGUC
rnacentral:rRNA from 1 species